GCGCAGCAAAGUUACGAAAUGCUGAUGGCUUUUUUGGUAAAUCUGAUCCUUAUGCCAAACUCUGCGGUUUAUCUGCUCCUCAAAUGGUCUGGGGUGAAACAAAAACAGUUCGUGAUAAUUUAAAUCCGACAUGGGAGAGUGAUAAUGUUUUUACUAU
rnacentral:ribozyme from 1 species